GACGAACGCUGACAGAAUGCUUAACACAUGCAAGUCUACUUGAACUUCGGUUUGGGUGGCGGACGGGUGAGUAACGCGUAAAGAACUUGCCUCACAGAUAGGGACAACAUUUGGAAACGAAUGCUAAUACCUGAUAUUAUGAUUUUAGGGCAUCCUAGAAUUAUGAAAGCUAUAUGCACUGUGAGAGAGCUUUGCGUCCCAUUAGCUAGUUGGAGAGGUAACGGCUCACCAAGGCGAUGAUGGGUAGCCGGCCUGAGAGGGUGAUCGGCCACAAGGGGACUGAGACACGGCCCUUACUCCUACGGGAGGCAGCAGUGGGGAAUAUUGGACAAUGGACCAAGAGUCUGAUCCAGCAAUUCUGUGUGCACGAUGAAGUUUUUCGGAAUGUAAAGUGCUUUCAGUUGGGAAGAAAAAAAUGACGGUACCAACAGAAGAAGUGACGGCUAAAUACGUG
rnacentral:rRNA from 1 species